UCCCAAAAAUAAACGUACUCAGUUCGGAUUGUAGUCUGCAACUCGACUACAUGAAGCUGGAAUCGCUAGUAAUCGCGAAUCAGAAUGUCGCGGUGAAUACGUUCCCGGGUCUUGUACACACCGCCCGUCACACCAUGGGAGUCAGUAACGCCCGAAGUCAGUGACCCAAUCAUAACCGGAGGGAGCUGCCGAAGGUGGGACCGAUAACUGGGGUGAAGUCGUAACAAGGUACC
rnacentral:rRNA from 1 species